UUUGAAAGUAAUUAACAAGGUUUCCGUAGGUGAACCUGCGGAAGGAUCAUUAUUAAAAGAAUAGAGUGCAUUAAUUGUGGCUCGACCCCUUUUAAAUUUUACCCAAACUUUUAACACUUUUUUGCAUGAUUUGAAAGAAUCAUUGUGAUUAAGUAUACGGGGCAUUUUUUAUUGAAUGUUCCCAUUUCCCCCCCUUUUUUUUAUUUUUUUUUUUUUAAGUAACACAAGUUUAAAUGAAUGUAAAACAACCUUUAAAUUAUAAAUAACUUUUAACAAUGGAUCUCUAGGCUCUCACAUCGAUGAAGAACACAGUGAAAUGUGAUAAGUAAUGUGAAUUGCAGAAUUCAGUGAAUCAUCGAAUCUUUGAACGCAUCUUGCGCCUUUUGGUAUUCCAAAAGGCACACCUGUUUGAGUGUCAUGAAACCCUCUCAUUAAACAUUUUUUAACUUGUUUAAACUUGUUUAGUGGAUGUUGAGUGUUGCUGUCAUUAGCUCACUUUAAAUAUAUAAGUCACUUUUCAAAUAAGUUGGAUUGACUUGGUGUAAUAAUUUUAUCAUCACAUCAAGGAAAGUAGCAAUACUUGCCAUCUUGUUUAAUAUAAGGGACUUCUAAAAACCCCCCUUUUUUCAAAAUUUAAGACCUCAAAUCAGGGG
rnacentral:rRNA from 1 species